GCAGAGGCUCCACGGCGGUGGACGGCGCAGGCUUCGGUGUGGACCGACCCGCUGAACUCUCGAAGAGUGACGAUGAGUACGAUGCUUUCCGUAAGAGGAUGAUGCUGGCGUAUCGCUUCAGACCGAACCCUCUGAACAAUCCCAGAAGGCCGUACUACUGAACGCCGCCGCAGCAUCUCCUCUGGACCCACUUUUUUGUUUUUGUUUUGUCUUUUUUUCUCAUAACAGGUUGAAUUAUGAUGUGCUUUAUUUCAGAAAAUAGAAAACAAAUUCACCUGAGUGCAUUUUAAUAAGCCCUUCACAUGUUUCUGUUUGUUUAUUACAUUUAUUCAAAACUGUAAAAGCCCCUGAUAUAGUCCGCUGCGCAAUAUAAUAUUAACAGCAGUGCAAUUUUAUGUGUGUUUUACCCAAUGAUGAGCACAGAUAUUAUAAAUGAAACCCCACGACAAACCCUCUCAGUCACUUUGGGCUCGUUACAGUCCUGAUUAAACGGAUUCAGCCGUCUGUCAUUGACUCUGUGAGAUCAAUUAAAGGCCUGUGCUCUCA